rnacentral:rRNA from 1 species
AGCGAACGCUGGCGGCAGGCUUAACACAUGCAAGUCGAGCGGGCACUUUCGGGUGUCAGCGGCGGACGGGUGCGUAACGCGUGGGAACGUGCCCUCUGGUUCGGAAUAACUCAGGGAAACUUGAGCUAAUACCGGAUACGCCCUUUUGGGGAAAGGCUUGCUGCCGGAGGAUCGGCCCGCGUCUGAUUAGCUAGUUGGUGAGGUAACGGCUCACCAAGGCGACGAUCAGUAGCUGGUCUGAGAGGAUGAUCAGCCACACCGGGACUGAGACACGGCCCAGACUCCUACGGGAGGCAGCAGUGGGGAAUAUUGGACAAUGGGCGCAAGCCUGAUCCAGCCAUGCCGCGUGAGUGAUGAAGGCCUUAGGGUUGUAAAGCUCUUUUAUCCGGGACGAUAAUGACGGUACCGGAGGAAUAAGCCCCGGCUAACUUCGUG